UUUACUUUGGUGUAAAGCACAUAAAAUUUUGAUUUUUAAGGAAACAGAUAUAAGUAAAU
rnacentral:tRNA from 1 species